ACUGUCAUAAUGAGAUGAGCCGCGGGCCUACAUUAAUGGCUCCCGGCAGAUGUAGUUGAUGUUUCCUGUGUUUUGAAGUAACGGGCUUUGCAACGAGACGGCAUUUUUGAACGUAAGCUCUGGCUGCAAUUUGGUCUCAUAAGCAAGUGACUAGAUGAAGCUGCUGUUCUGAGAUUCCAACACAGAACUGUUGUGAACGUGCUCACUCUCUGUUCUGAGAACUAGUGAGACUGGGAUUUGGAGCUGUGAUGUUACUCAGUAUAAGGGAGCUGAUCUGGAGAUGUGCAGCUGAAGAGUGAGCUGCUCAAUGCAGUGGCUGCUGUUGAUGUUUCUAGCUCUGCUGCUGACCUCAGGAGAACAGUGAUGGGGCCCUGGGUGGGUUCCUCAGCUGUAAACUACCAGCAGCAACCUGCCAGCUAUUGGGAAUAAUCUUUGAAUUGAAAGUUGCUGUGACUUGUUCACUGCUGCCCAUAAAGCUGUGUGGGAAUGGCUGCUGUGGGAUGUCCCUGGACCCUUUCAUCUCCAGUAUGGCUUCUCUGGGUCAGGACAAAUCAGCUGGAACUCAGAAAUGCCAAGUUACUGCUCUUUAAUGAAU